rnacentral:rRNA from 1 species
GAUGAACGCUGGCGGCGUGCCUAAUACAUGCAAGUCGAACGAGGAGCCAUUGUAUUCGUAUGGUGGAUUUCCUAGUGGCGAACGGGUGAGUAACGCGUUGGUGACCUACCCCAAAGAGAGGGAUAACAGUUCGAAAGGACUGCUAAUACCUCAUGUGGUCACAGAGGUUAGAGACUCUGUGUCUAAAGGAGCAAUUCACUUUGGGAGGGGCCUGCGUCCCAUCAGCUAGUUGGUAGGGUAAUGGCCUACCAAGGCGACGACGGGUAGGGGGCCUGAGAGGGUGACCCCCCACACUGGCACUGAAACACGGGCCAGACACCUACGGGUGGCAGCAGUAGGGAAUAUUGCACAAUGGGCGAAAGCCUGAUGCAGCAACGCCGCGUGCACGAUGAAGGCCUUCGGGUCGUAAAGUGCUUUUCGGGGAGAUGAGGAAGGACAGUAUCCCCGGAAUAAGGAUCGGCUAACUACGUG